rnacentral:rRNA from 1 species
AGAGUUUGAUCCUGGCUCAGGACGAACGCUGGCGGCGUGCUUAACACAUGCAAGUCGAGCGGAAAUAUUUAAAAGCUUGCUUUUAGAUAUUUUAGCGGCGGACGGGUGAGUAACGUGUGGGUAACCUGCCAUAUACUGGGGAAUAAUCAUUGGAAACGGUGACUAAUACCGCAUGUCAUCCGAAGAGGGCAUCCUCUUUGGAGAAAAGGAUUUAUUCGGUACAGGAUGGGCCCGCAUCUGAUUAGCUAGUUGGUGAGAUAACAGCUCACCAAGGCAACGAUCAGUAGCCGACCUGAGAGGGUGAUCGGCCACAUUGGGACUGAGACACGGCCCAAACUCCUACGGGAGGCAGCAGUGGGGAAUGUUGCACAAUGGGCGAAAGCCUGAUGCAGCAACGCCGCGUGAAGGAUGAAGGGUUUCGGCUCGUAAACUUCUAUCAACAGGGACGAAAAAAAUGACGGUACCUGAAUAAGAAGCCCCGGCUAACUACGUGCCAGCAGCCGCGGUAA